CCAGACUCCUACGGGAGGCAGCAGUAGGGAAUCUUUCACAAUGGGCGAAAGCCUGAUGGAGCAACGCCGCGUGCAGGAUGAAGGCCUUCGGGUUGUAAACUGCUUUUAUAAGCGAGAAAUAUGAUGGUAACUUAUGAAUAAGGAUCGGCUAACUACGUGCCAGCAGCCGCGGUAAUACGUAGGUGGCAAGCGUUAUCCGGAUUUACUGGGUGUAAAGGGCGAGUAGGCGGGAUUGCAAGUCAGAUGUGAAAACUAUGGGCUCAACCGAUAGAGUGCAUUUGAAACUGCAGUUCUUGAGUGAUGGAGAGGCAGGCGGAAUUCCCGGUGUAGCGGUGGAAUGCGUAGAUAUUAGGAGGGACACCAGUGGCGAAGGCGGCUUACUGGACUGUAACUGACGUUGAGGCUCGAAAGCGUGGGGAGCAAACAGGAUUAGAUACCCGGGUAA
rnacentral:rRNA from 1 species